UACGUAGGGGGCAAGCGUUGUCCGGAUUUAUUGGGCGUAAAGAGCGUGUAGGCGGCCAGGGAGGUCCGUUGUGAAAACUCGAGGCUCAACCUCGAGACGCCGAUGGAAACCCCCUGGCUAGAGUCCGGAAGAGGAGAGUGGAAUUCCUGGUGUAGCGGUGAAAUGCGCAGAUAUCAGGAGGAACACCAAUGGCGAAGGCAGCUCGCUGGAACGGUACUGACGCUGAGGCGCGAAAGCGUGGGGAGCAAACAGG
rnacentral:rRNA from 1 species